GUAUAUGGCUGUCCUGCCCAGAAUGUGCUUGAUCUUGUCUGAUCUUGGAAGUUAAGCAGGGUCAAGGCUAGAUAGUACUUGGAUGAGAGACCUUGGAAAUACUGGGUGCUCUAUGCC
rnacentral:rRNA from 1 species